ACCUGCGGAUAGAACAGUCAGUGGAGCAUGAGACUUUUAAUCUCAGGGUCGUGGGUUGGAGCCCCACACUGGGCA